AUCGCUUCUCGGCCUUUUGGCUAAGAUCGAGUGUAGUAUAUUUACCUAAUAUUACUGUACAAUACAUGCAAGUGUAUGUGUAUACAUACAUAUAUAUAUAUAUACAUGUAACAAUA
ensembl:snRNA LOC120099537 U2 spliceosomal RNA